UUACACCUGAAAGAUGUCUGUUCAACCCAGAUCGUCUUGAUGCCAAACUCUAGCCCAACCGACAUGACCUGGAAUAACAAAGUCACUCCCCACCCUAAACCAAAGCAUUUACUAGUCCCAGUAUAGGCGAUAGAAAAGACACCACAUGGCGCGAUAGAGACCACGUACCGUAAGGGAAAGAUGAAAUAGUAGUGAAAUAAUCUAAGCUAAAAAUAGCAAAGAUCAACCCUUGUACCUUUUGCAUAAUGGUCUAGCAAGAAAAACCAAGCAAAAUGAAUUUAAGUUUGCCACCCCGAAACCCAAGCGAGCUACUUGCGAGCAGCUAAUAUGAGCGAACCCGUCUCUGUUGCAAAAGAGUGGGACGACUCGCUAGUAGAGGUGAAAAGCCAAUCGAGCUGGGUGAUAGCUGGUUGCCUGUGAAACGAAUCUCAGUUCACUCUUAAUUCUUCUCCAAGGAAACUCACAAACCCCAAUGAAGCGAAUUAAGGGCUAUUUAAAGGAGGUACAGCUCCUUUAAAAAAGAAUACAAUCUCCACGAGCGGAUAAGUACCCCCCC
rnacentral:rRNA from 1 species